rnacentral:rRNA from 1 species
UACGAAGGGGGCUAGCGUUGUUCGGAAUUACUGGGCGUAAAGCGCACGUAGGCGGACAUUUAAGUCAGGGGUGAAAUCCCAGAGCUCAACUCUGGAACUGCCUUUGAUACUGGGUGUCUUGAGUAUGGAAGAGGUGAGUGGAAGUUCCGAGUGAUAGAGGUGAAAUUCGUAGAUAUUCGGAGGAACACCAGUGGGCGAAGGCGGCUCACUGGUCCGGAACUGACGCUGAGGCGCGAAAGCGUGGGGAGCGAACAGG